UCUCCUGUAGCUCAGUUGGCUAGAGCGUCCGACUGUUAAUCGGGAGGUCGAAAGUUCAAGCCUUUCCGGGAGAG
rfam:Drechmeria coniospora strain ARSEF 6962 chromosome 02, whole genome shotgun sequence.